UCAUUAUCUUAUUGUAGUAGUAAGUGUCCUUAAUAACCCCCUUUUUAGAAUAAUUUAAUUUAAUAUAAUUACAGGAUGGAAUCAAACAAUAUUCGAGUACUUCAGGAUCUGUUAUCAAAGCAGCUGCUUUAACUAGUGACCCAGGUUUAGGCAUGCAAGCGUACGGCCGACAGCCAACCUGGUGCUACUCAAAGUACAUAGAAGCCUUAGAACAGGAAAGGAUUCUUCUUAAAAUUCAAGAGGAACUAGAAAGAAAGUUGUUUGCAGGUAAGUUUUGCUCUUUGUUUUCAGGGCUGCUUUGUUGUCUUGAAUCACAGGUUAAUUCUAGAGGGUUUUGCUAAUGAUUCCUUCACUGCUUCUCUUGUUUCCGUGCAGCCACACCAUCUUUUACAAAUUUCAAGUCUACUGCUUCCACUCUGUCUUUGAAAAAGACUGUGUCCUCCCACAACAUCCAGAGUGAGUGUCAAGUGACAGUCUGAUUUCAGUUCUUUCUUCCUUAUUGUUAGAACUCUACCUCUCACCUGGCCAUCUGGAGAGGGCAGAAAGGGAUGAGGACUGACUCCCUCCCAACUGCUCUGAGCCCCAGGUUAGGAGAAUUUCAGAGUGUAGGUGUUCCAUCUCUUUGUCUCUGUUUUCUUCUCUUGUGCUGAGGAGGAUAGACUAUGACAUAUACCCAACACUGCAUACCAUUUCCAGACAGCACUCACGGGAGCGUAUAUCCUGCUGCUAGGUACAACGGAAGUUCAUAGACUGAAUUGAUCAGUCCCAUCCAUGUCCCUCUGAGUCACACACUAAUGCCCAUGGACAUCUGCACAAUGCGCAUGCACGCGCACACACACACACACACCCCUACUUACACUCUCCACUAACAAAUUAAUAGGCAGGAGUGACUUGCCUCCCUUUUGAACGGCACAGUCUCCUGCACAGGAAGGCCCCUGGGGAAUGAUCAUUUAUUGCUCCUAUCUACUCCUUAUCUAGUUUUCUCUUAUCUAGUUUUCUCUUCCACAAAGAACAUUUAUAGAAGAAUGGGCUCAGUUUUCUAAGGUUUUGCAAGCUGAGUUUUUCUAAGUUCCAUUUUCCCAAGAUGGGAAUACAAGAAGGAACUGAUAAUUAAUAACUGAAAAUCAAGCUGGGGUCCUUUUCUCAUACAGAUACUGAUGUGAUUAUACAGUUUUGAUCAGAUACUAAUGUUAGACUUUUUAACAAUGCCCUAAGAAAGUAGUAUUACUAGUGUAAUGUAAUAUAUGUGCAUCCCAUUGAACUAAAACUCAAAGGACCCAGUAAAAGUCCCAUUUCUCUUCUAUUUUGUAGCUUAGAUUUUUGUUUCUCAAAAUCCUUAGUUUUCUGGUUCUUGGGAGGAUAUGAUGAUCAGGCCUUUAUGCUCUUAGCCUGCUCAUCUCUCUUCUUUUCAGAUUUAUCCUUAACCACUGUGCUCCUGUCAGUUCCCUUACCCCUUAGAUCAACAUCACAGUGCCUCCAACAUUAGGGUGUGCUGACUUAUUUGUUAACUGUUUGAUCCUUCUUACAACUCUAAGUUUUUGUUGUUAUUUUGGAUUUAAAUUUUCUCUCAUUGAUUAUGUUUCAGUCAUUUUUUCUUUUUUCUUUGCAGGAAUUCUUUAAACCAAGUUUUAACUAACAUGGAAGCACAAGUGGUUUUUUGAUGGUCUGCUUUAGAGCAAGCCUGUCAUCUAAAUAAAGUUUGGCUUUACUUCCA
rnacentral:lncRNA from 1 species